UUUAUUUUGGUGUAAAGAGCACAUAAAAUUUUGAUUUUUAAAGUUAUAAAA
rnacentral:tRNA from 1 species